UUAAAUCUAUAAUCAGGAGCAACGAACGAAAUUUCAUCCUAAUUUCCGCCAUUUUGAAAAAAACAAUUUAGCCUACAUCUCACUACAAAUCGCACAGGAAUUAAAAACUUUUCUUUGAUUUAACACAGAUCUACUAGGCUACUCUGUGUAGUAAUAACAGCAUUUACAUUAGUAGUAGCCUGUCUAAUAAAAUAUAGCCUAAUCCAAAUAAUGCCGCCUAAAAGAAUGUUUGAAAAAUAGGCCCCUAUAGGGCAUAGGGCCCUACAGAAGAGGAGUGUUUUCCGCACUCAAGAGGAAAGAGGCUGUAGGGAACUUAGAGACUAAACCUUGCCCUGGAUUUCUGGUGAUGACAAUAGCAGCAGAUAGUAUGCGGCUCAAUUAAUACUAACAACAAUUGAUUUUAAUAAUUAGUGGACUAUGAGUGUGUGUUUGGCCAUCCAGAUUUCAUAACUACAACUGAUGUUCAAUUACAAUGGAUAUUAAUCAGUCUCACUGUGCCUAAUCACUGUGCCUAGUUUCAUCCUCAGAGACUGAUGUGUAAGCUUAAAGUAAAGACAUCAAAUCAAAGUAU